AAAUUACUCUCUCCGUUUCAUAAUUCUUGUCGAAAUAUUACAUGUAUCUAUACACUUUUUAAAAAAUAGAUACAUUCAUUCUUAGACAAAUUUAAGACAAGAAUUAUGAAACGGGAGGAGUAUAAU
rnacentral:pre_miRNA from 1 species